UAAGUGAAAUUUCUUGUUUCAAAAUAGAUUUUUUUUUAAUUGCUGGUAAAAUGAAUUUAAAAUUUUCUUUGCAUUUCGUCUCCUAUAAAAAUAAACGGCUAUUAGAGUUUCCACUUCGUAUUUGUUUUUCUUGUUGAUUGAUUCAUUUUUUUUUUCUUUUUAUUUACAGGGUCUUCUGGUCUCUCUUAUAUUCUGUUAUUUAAACGGAGAGAUUCAGUGUCUACUUUUGCGUUCCUUCCACCGACUGCAAGUUCGGAGAAAGUUAUUAGCUUCAUCAGAAUUUCGCCGAUCCACGCGUUCAGAUCACAUGACUAGCAAGAAAUCACCCUUCGCUCCAUAAAACAGUAAUUGAUUUGAUUCGAAGAUCUAUGUAUCGUCUUAAGUUGCGCUACUCCCUCGAUGUCCAUCCGACGUCCGUUACCACCACUUCUGAGAUGUCAAUGGGUCGAUCCAGGCAGUCUACUGACUGUGGUGCAGAUUAUUCGGCUCGGCCCUGGAGAAGAAGCACCAGAGAUGCGAAUUCCAUUGACUGUACAACCGAACUCAAUUCCUUGCCUCCGUUGUCCAGGAAGGACAACGGCAUGAUCUCGUUGGAAACUUCGCUCAUUAUUCACGAAGAGUAAUUGGUCAAUAAUGACCUCUAUGCUUCUGUGUCUAAAGGUAUUGACAUGAAAUCUAUGGAGACGAUUCUCAUUAUACAGGAAAAGUCUUUGCUUUUUCGUGUCCAAUUAUACGCAACCGAAUUCAGAGCUCUGUCCUUGGGUCCUGGAAGAAUAUCGACUUGAAAUCCACGGAAACUUCGCUCAUUAUUCAUAAAGAAUCUCAAUUGUUCAAUAAUGAGUUCUAUGCUUAUAUGUCUUAAGAUAUUGGCAUGAAAUCUAUGGUGACUAUACUCAUUAUCCAGAAAGAGGUUUUACUUUUUCUUGCCCAAUAAUAAGUUCAAUGCUUCUGUGUCCAAAGACAUUGACGUGAAAUCCAUGGAGACGAUUCUCAUUUUUCAGAAACAGUUUUUAUUUCUCAUUGUUUAUUAAUCAGAUUUUUCUUCUGUAUAUAGACACGAACUAUAUGGUGACUAUUCUCAUUAUUCAAAAAGAGUUUUUUUUUUUUUUUGUUGCCAAAAAUGAUUUCUAUGCUUUUGCGUCUAAGAAUAUCGACGUGAACUCUAUAGUGACUUUUCUCAUUCCGGACGAGUUUUUACUUUUUGCUGUUCUGUGCAUUUGUGUCAAUGAAUAAUGAAGUGAACUGUAUGGAGCUUGUUCUUUUACAUUCACGAAGAUUUUUAAUUGUCCAAGAAUGAGUUUUAUGCUUCUGUGUCUAUGGAUCUUGAUAUAAAAUCCGUGCAGAUGAGACAGAUUAAUAAGGAAGCAUUUUUACUUUUUAUUUUUCAAUACUGAGUUAAAUAAUUCUGUGUCUGAGAAAGACGUCAACUUUAUGGAGGCUUACCUCAUUAUUAAGGCAAAAUUUUAAUUUUUCGGUGGUUAAUUCGGUGUUUUUAUUCGUUAAAAAUUUCUUGAAAAUAAUUCCAGUCAGAUCAUAAAUCAUAUUCAGCCAUGCCAUUCCUUGUACAGGGUAUACAUAAAUAGAGAUUCGCUUUCUGAGCAUUUGACUAGACUUCAUUUGCAAACUGAGCGCUGUGCAGGUCACUGCGCAACUGUUUUGUGUUUGUGUUUACUAAAAUUUGAGUUCGCCAAAUAACUUUAAGAAGCAGGUUGGUGAAUUAAGGGAAGAUUUUUUUCUUAAAUGGUAGAAUUAAUUUUUACUAGAAAUCACUCUAAGAUAUGAAUUUCCUUAUUCAUAAGUAUUUAUGAAAUUGGCAGAAUACUAAGAGACCCGCAACUUGAGUUCUACUGAACGGAUUUAGAUGGAAUUUCAAAUGCGUUUGAGAUUUUCGUUUGAAAAAAAUAGUUUGGAAUUUUUGCAAUGGAUCGCGCUGUACUGCUAAAAUCGUGAGCAGAAAUGAAUGGCGCAUUCAAUUUCGCAAUGCGCAUUUUGGACUUGCUACUCAACAAGAUAGAUUUUAUAUCCAUCGUUGAACAGCCGACAAAAUUUUGAGUUUACGACUACUAAUGUUCAACUCGCUACCCCUGUAAUUU
rnacentral:lncRNA from 1 species